rnacentral:tRNA from 1 species
AAAACUAUAGGUUAAUUAGACCAUUGGCCUUCAAAGCCGAGAGUGGAGGUUCUUCCUGGUUUUG